CAGCUGAUCAAACACACCAGGACAAGGUCAGUCCAGGGACCCACAGUCCCCUCCAGGGGAGAUUUCAUAGACCUGCCAUCAGGACGGUCUGAUAAAAAUGGGCAGGGGGUGGGGAAGGGGGCCCACGGGGCUGGCACAGGACCAAACAGCUUUUCAUUCCUUUUAAGGUUGAGACCUCUACACUCCACACAGGGUCCAGAGCAAAGCCAGCACGUGCAGAGGCCAUGGCUAGCCCUGCCUGUGAGCCCGGGGACCUGAGGUAAAAUAAGGAACAGGGUAGCCGUGCACACACGCAUGACGGGGUGAGCGAUGUCAGGCAGGAGCCAGUGUGGGUUUGGGAGCAUAGGAUUAUUAGAUUGUCACAGGGUGACUUAAGAUCCUCCUUCACUAAACUGUGACCCCUUCAAGGGCAAGUGCUGUGCGUCAUCCUGUUAACACACACACACAGUGAGCCGGGCACAUCAGGUUCUGAUUGCCCAGGUCUGUUGUCCCUGAAGUUCUGGAGUCUCUGAGGUCCUGUUGUGUGCCCAGUCCCGUGCUAGAUGCUGUAGAGGUUGGGUUGUGCUGGGCUGAGAUGGGUGUGGUUCCUGCUCCCAGGGACUGAUCAUCUUGUUGGCCAGGCAAAGAUUAUUUAUGAGAAAUAAGAACGAAAAACAUCCAUGCAGGUCCAGACCAAGACCUGAAGUACCUAUAAAUGCUGUGUUUCUUGCUCGCUUGCUCUUUCUUUCUUUUUUUUUUUUUUUUGGUGUCUUUUUCAUCGGGAUGGUUAAUAUUUUUUAGAAAUAGUCUCAUAAUAAGUCAUGUCUGUUAGGUGCUUAGUGUAUGUUGCACAUGGGCAGAGAUCCUUGUGUAGUUCUUCCUUCACCGGCACCGUGAUGCAGCUGCAGUUCUCCUGGGUUACAGACGAGGAGACCCACAGCAGGGAAGUCACGUGACGAGUGACAGAGCCAGGGAGCCGCGAUUUGAACACGAGCAGUCUGACUCCAGAGCUUGCUCUUAAACACCGUGCUGCAUCCCAGCAGUUCUUGCUUAAUACCUAGUCAGCUAGAAAAGAUCUAGUCAACGGUGGUUCCCAGUCCUUAGCAGCCGGGUCUGUCAUGCCUGGACUGUUGUCACAGGACCUAGCAAGGCUCCCUGUCUGCUCUGUCCUUGCCUUUCCCCUCCUGGCCUGAGAUGGCCAGUCAGACCUAAACCUCUGCUUCUAUCUGCUAGAGAUGUGGUAUCCUGGAGCAACAAGUCACGUCCUUUUGCUUUGGCUUCGGGACCAGAUGGUUUGUUCACCAGUCCUCAGUCCAGACUCUGCCCUGGAGAGCAGAAGGAGGGCCGCCGGAGCUGCCCAAGCCCCCGCAGGGCCAGCGGAGGCCCACAGAGCCUGGCGCGGGUGUGCGAGGGUGGGUCCUCCACGCACACAGCUCUGGAAAGCAUCUUGGCCUCUCUGACUUCCCCACCUUCCCCCAAUCCUGGCCUCCUAGAAGGAAAAUGUUUUCCAGACAGCAGCCACGUCAUUGGAGAGGAUCCGAUUAGAAGCCAAGAUGAAAUGCAGUGGUUCAGAGCCACCCUUUCGAGAGCAUUUUGAAUCAUUUACUCGCUUGACUCUGGCAGCAGUGCUCUGAGGCUAAAAGAACAUGAAUUAUUAUUUUGCCAAUGAAGAAAUUGAGGUUCCAGGAGGCGACAUCACUUGGUCACCCAGUAAGUCGGUAGCAGAACUGCAAUCAGAGCAGCUGGACCCAGCAUUAUAUCCACUUUGCAAGAAAAAGCACUACUGAGGCCUGGCCACCUUAGAAGCAGCAGCUCAGGAGGCCGUCGGGACACGCAGAGGCAGGAGCCCAGCAGCGGGGAGCCGGGGAAGACGCGGUCACACCAGGGAAGCAGAGAAGCCCGGGGUCACAUCAAGGUUUGUCUUAGGCUUUCCUGCCCCAGCUCUACAGGCAAAGUAUGAAGUGUAAACACAUUGCCCACGUUCCGGGUGAAUCUUUCCUAUGUAACGUGAGCUACUUCCUCCGUCGUGUUUGGGGGGCUGCCUCCCCUCUAGCCUGCGAGCAUGUUCCUGGGGAGGGGGCGGUGGUCAGAUCUCCAGUGGAGUGCCAGCACCACGUUCCCUCCGUGCCGGUUACAACUCGGGAAAACAGGUGCAGUGGGCACAUUACAGAUGGGAACACUGAGGCCCUAAGUGAAGAGGCAACAUGGGCCUCAUGCCAGCAAUCUGGCUCUUCCUAAGACCUCCCAGGGCUCCAUCCUCCAGCCUGGGGAGAAGGCAAAGUUUCUGUAUGCAAAGGUGAGGAAUGUGCCCCCCUCCAGUCCCCUGACAGUGGAGGGUGAGAAGGGACUGUGGGGUGGGCUUCUCUGCAGGAGUCUGGGCGAGACAGCCUGGGGCAACAAGACAU